GAUGAACGCUAGCUACAGGCUUAACACAUGCAAGUCGAGGGGCAGCAUGAACUUAGCUUGCUAAGUUUGAUGGCGACCGGCGCACGGGUGAGUAACACGUAUCCAACCUGCCGAUGACUCGGGGAUAGCCUUUCGAAAGAAAGAUUAAUACCCGAUGGCAUAGUUCUUCCGCACGGUGGAACUAUUAAAGAAUUUCGGUCAUCGAUGGGGAUGCGUUCCAUUAGGUUGUUGGCGGGGUAACGGCCCACCAAGCCUUCGAUGGAUAGGGGUUCUGAGAGGAAGGUCCCCCACAUUGGAACUGAGACACGGUCCAAACUCCUACGGGAGGCAGCAGUGAGGAAUAUUGGUCAAUGGACGAGAGUCUGAACCAGCCAAGUAGCGUGAAGGAUGACUGCCCUAUGGGUUGUAAACUUCUUUUAUACGGGAAUAAAGUGAGGCACGUGUGCCUUUUUGUAUGUACCGUAUGAAUAAGGAUCGGCUAACUCCGUGCCAGCAGCCGCGGUAAUACGGAGGAUCCGAGCGUUAUCCGGAUUUAUUGGGUUUAAAGGGAGCGUAGGCGGACGCUUAAGUCAGUUGUGAAAGUUUGCGGCUCAACCGUAAAAUUGCAGUUGAUACUGGGUGUCUUGAGUACAGUAGAGGCAGGCGGAAUUCGUGGUGUAGCGGUGAAAUGCUUAGAUAUCACGAAGAACUCCGAUUGCGAAGGCAGCUUGCUGGACUGUAACUGACGCUGAUGCUCGAAAGUGUGGGUAUCAAACAGGAUUAGAUACCCUGGUAGUCCACACAGUAAACGAUGAAUACUCGCUGUUUGCGAUAUACAGUAAGCGGCCAAGCGAAAGCGUUAAGUAUUCCACCUGGGGAGUACGCCGGCAACGGUGAAACUCAAAGGAAUUGACGGGGGCCCGCACAAGCGGAGGAACAUGUGGUUUAAUUCGAUGAUACGCGAGGAACCUUACCCGGGCUUGAAUUGCAACUGAAUGAUGUGGAGACAUGUCAGCCGCAAGGCAGUUGUGAAGGUGCUGCAUGGUUGUCGUCAGCUCGUGCCGUGAGGUGUCGGCUUAAGUGCCAUAACGAGCGCAACCCUUAUCGAUAGUUACCAUCAGGUUAUGCUGGGGACUCUGUCGAGACUGCCGUCGUAAGAUGUGAGGAAGGUGGGGAUGACGUCAAAUCAGCACGGCCCUUACGUCCGGGGCUACACACGUGUUACAAUGGGGGGUACAGAAGGCAGCUACACGGCGACGUGAUGCUAAUCCCGAAAGCCUCUCUCAGUUCGGAUUGGAGUCUGCAACCCGACUCCAUGAAGCUGGAUUCGCUAGUAAUCGCGCAUCAGCCACGGCGCGGUGAAAUACGUUCCCGGGCCCU
rnacentral:rRNA from 1 species